rnacentral:pre_miRNA from 1 species
UAACUCGUCAAGGGGCUGUGAAAUGUUGACAUUACCAAAUUCAUAUCACAGCCAUUUUGAUGAGUUCUG